rnacentral:rRNA from 1 species
GUUCGAGUCACUCCCAACCCCUGUGACAUACCUUUAUGUUGCCUCGGCGGAUCAGCCCGCGCCCCGUAAAACGGGACGGCCCGCCGCAGGAACCACAAAACUCUGAUUUUAGUGUAACUUCUGAGUCUAAAAAACAAAUAAAUCAAAACUUUCAACAACGGAUCUCUUGGUUCUGGCAUCGAUGAAGAACGCAGCAAAAUGCGAUAAGUAAUGUGAAUUGCAGAAUUCAGUGAAUCAUCGAAUCUUUGAACGCACAUUGCGCCCGCCAGUAUUCUGGCGGGCAUGCCUGUUCGAGCGUCAUUUCAACCCUCAAGCCCCCGGGUUUGGUGUUGGGGAUCGGGCUGUACUCCAGCCCGGCCCCGAAAUCUAGUGGCGGUCUCGCUGCAGCCUCCAUUGCGUAGUAGCUAACACCUCGCAACUGGAACGCGGCGCGGCCAAGCCGUUAAACCCCCAACUUCUGAAUGUUGACCUCGGAUCAGGUAGGAAUACCCGCUGAACUUAAGCAUAUCAAUAAGGCGGGAGGAAACA